CUCAGAUUGAACGCUGGCGGCAUGCCUUACACAUGCAAGUCGAACGGCAGCACGGGCUUCGGCCUGGUGGCGAGUGGCGAACGGGUGAGUAAUACAUCGGAACGUGCCCUGUCGUGGGGGAUAACUAGUCGAAAGAUUAGCUAAUACCGCAUACGACCUGAGGGUGAAAGCGGGGGACCGGUAACGGCCUCGCGCGACAGGAGCGGCCGAUGUCUGAUUAGCUAGUUGGUGGGGUAAGAGCCUACCAAGGCGACGAUCAGUAGCUGGUCUGAGAGGACGAUCAGCCACACUGGGACUGAGACACGGCCCAGACUCCUACGGGAGGCAGCAGUGGGGAAUUUUGGACAAUGGGGGCAACCCUGAUCCAGCAAUGCCGCGUGUGUGAAGAAGGCCUUCGGGUUGUAAAGCACUUUUGUCCGGAAAGAAAUGGCUCUGGUUAAUACCCGGGGUCGAUGACGGUACC
rnacentral:rRNA from 1 species